UUGCUUUUGGAGUUUUCACCUCUGUUCCAAACAGCUCUGGGCAGGAGAAAGGGGAGCAGAGAGAGGCAAAAGCAAAGGGUAAAGAAGGAAGAAUAGGCAAGGGAAUGCUGAAGGCAAACUUGUUUAAAUACACACUUCAUCUCUCCAAAAACUGCUGCUUUUGGGGAGCUCAUUUUCUCACUCACAGAGAUGCAGCUGCAAGCCCCAAAGGUCAGAGACUUUCUUCUCCAAAGAGAGUGGCUAAUCAAGAGAAGGAGCCUUGGGAAUACUGAGAUGGAGAAAAAACGAGACAUUUGAGCUGUCUGGAACCAAACCACGCAGCCAGGCCUGGGCUUCUCAUCCAGUUCUGUUGAGUUUGCCUUUCUCUUGAGAAUGUGUCUGAACCAAAUCCCAGCUGGGCACGUUCAGCUCCAAGACUUUUCAGUUCCUGGUGGGAGUUUUGUUGUUUGAGCUGCUCCAGUUGAGUGGUUUGUGCAGAGGUUCAGUUGGGCUCCUGUUCCCAGCUAUUUCUGAGGAUGGAGCUGCCAUUUCAGAGCUGCAGGUGCUUUGUGGGUUUGGGGAUGAGGUGUGAGCACCAAAAGGUGCCUUUGGUCUUUUUUGUGCCCUAUUGUUUGCUUGCAUCAAGGAAUAAGAAUGAUAUAAAAAUAAUCUUUCAGAAAAGUGAGGGAGAAAAUCUGGACCCACUGCACCUAAAGCAACCUUUGCAUAAUCAAUAAUUUCCCUGUCACACAAAGUAAUUGUGUUCAGAAAAAUACUGUGAUCAGUUUUAAAACUCAGCUGGGUUUCCUGUCCCCACUAAUUCUGCCAGGAAGUUGUUCCAGAACCUUCCUACUCUAUUAGAAAUCAAUUUGUUCACUGGUGUUUGACAAGCAAUGUAAGAACAUCUAAAUGUUCCAAUGGCCUAAAAUAGGUAUUCCAAGUUCUGUGCAAUCAUAAAAGGCUUUAGGAAGUACAAUUCCUUGUUUUUAUUUCUAAUAUCUUAUUUUCUUCACUGCUAAAAAGAAGUAAACUUUGAUGCUCUUGGAUACUUUCUGUUGAAGCUCACUAAAAAAGCUGACUCUUAUUAUGCAAAAUAAAGUAUAUUCUAAAAUCCAAAAGUUAUUGAA